GCAUUGUGGGAUGAUGACGUGAUCAUGUAUCUCCUCGCUAGUCUUGGCCUGAUUAUGAUCCCUUCGUCACCUUGAUGAUUACCAAGAGUGAAGCCUUCACGCUUGAUGAUGUGUUUGCACAUAUAAUGAAGUUUGAAG